rnacentral:rRNA from 1 species
GCAAGUCGAACGAGAUUGUUACUUCGGUAACAUGAGAGUGGCGCACGGGUGAGUAACGCGUAGAGAUCUACCAAGCAGUAAGGGACAACUAUUGGAAACGAUAGCUAAAACCGCAUACGCCCUUAGGGGGAAAUAUUUAUAGCUGUUUGAUGAGUCUGCGUUAGAUUAGCUAGUUGGUAGGGUAAAAGCCUACCAAGGCGACGAUCUAUAGCUGGUUUGAGAGGAUGAUC